GGCAGGUGGUACAGAUUGGGCGUCCCCUCUGUUGCACAUGCGCAGUACUGAUUAGUCACAACAGGUGAUUUCUACAUUUCACCGUUUACCUGGAGCAGAUGGGAGGAGGAUGUAACGUGGAAAAAAAGACUCACGGGAUGAAUUCAGAGAGCCGUCCCCCUUUUCACGGCUACACCCAUGGAUGUGUGACUGCAGCUGAGAUGUAGUUUGCAAAGAUAAGAGCUCGCAUGGAGGAAAGGAAAAGGAAUGGAGACAGACUGAUACCUGGAGGUGGUUGAGCACGGUCCACACUGCAAGAAGUAGGGAGACGAAACUGAAUCCCUGCAAGGAGCAAGCGAGACCAGUUAGAAAGGACAGGUGCAGACACUGACACGAAGCGCGAGAUGAUGCCAAGGCGUCGCUCCUAUCGGGAGAUUUUUGACACGCCAGAGAAAAGAUGUGAAGUUGUAACAGUUUGAGAUCUAAAGAGCUUGGAAUUAAUACUAGGUGACUGUGAAUGAAGAGAACCUGGUGCCAAUACUAAACAGAAGAAGUCAUUCCAGCGGUGCCAGUUUGACUUUGAGGUGAUUCAGAUGCAGCAUUGAG